CAAUUGGGCAGAGGAUCCUCCUCCCAACAUCACUGUUCCUCCUGAUCACCCAAUGUAGCUGGGCCAAGAAGAAACAAGAGAAAAGAACUAUGAUGCCCACAACAAUGGAGUGUUGCUAGAAAUCUGAUGUCUUGAGUUGUCAUGAAAUAUAAUAAAUGAAUUGAAGCGAGGAAACCCAAUUUUGAAGUGUUGAAUUUGAGACUCAGCAUGUGAGAAAAACAGGUUGGAGAGAAGGCUCAUUUAGGAUAAGAUACCCAGAAGCUCUUGUUUUAAUGUGCAAACAUUUUGUUAUAAGUCCCUGCCCUUCAGUGCCGCAUCUGGUGUGCAAACUGAUCCUGCUCCAUCACAGAUCCAAAUGAGCUGGAAGUGGUCUAAUCAUUUCAUCAUCACCCAUACUUCUUUUAAGUACUGAAAGGCUACAGUAAGAUCUCCCAGAAGCCUUCUCUUCUCCAGGAUGAAAAACCUCUACAGUAAAUGAAUAAACAAAGUUAA